AAGCCAUGGUGUGGGUAUUGAGCUUGGUAGCCUUUGAAUCUCUCCCAAGCUUCACUGAAUCCUUCCAAGUUCUUCUGUUGGAAACUGGAUAUCUUGUUUCUCAGCUU